rnacentral:rRNA from 1 species
UACGUAGGUCCCGAGAGUUAUCCGGAAUUAUUGGGCGUAAAGAGUGAGCAGGCGGCAUAGCAAGUCUGAGGUGAAAGCGUGGGGCUCAACCCGAUACAGCCUUGGAAACUACUAAGCUAGAAUGCGUGAGAGGUUAGCGGAACUCCAUGUGUAGCGGUGAAAUGCGUAGAUAUAUGGAAGAACACCAGUGGCGAAGGAGGCUAACCAGCACUGCAUUGACGCUCAGUCACGAAAGCGUGGGGAGCAAAUA